UACGAAGGGUGCAAACGUUGCUCGGAAUUAUUGGGCGUAAAGCGCACGUAGGCGGCUUUGCAAGUCGGAUGUGAAAUCCCUCGGCUUAACCAAGGAAGUGCAUCCGAAACUGCAGAGCUUGAGUACUUAAGAGGAUCGCGGAAUUCCCGGUGUAGAGGUGAAAUUCGUAGAUAUCGGGAGGAACACCAGUGGCGAAGGCGGCGAUCUGGGAAGAUACUGACGCUGAGGUGCGAAAGCGUGGGAGCAAACAGG
rnacentral:rRNA from 1 species